rnacentral:tRNA from 1 species
GUGCCCGUAACUCAGUGGUAGAGUGUGAGAUUGCAAUCACGUCUUCACUGGAUACAUUGCAAUAAUCUUGAAGCCCCGUGUUCGACCCACGGCGGGCACU